CUGGCCUAGUUGAUCCGAAAACUAAAAGCUAGGAAAUUAGAGGAUUUAUUAGUUAAGGAUGAUUCUGUAGACAAAUAUAAUAGAGGGAUUGAUCUGUAGUAGAGAAUUAUUAACAACAAUCUAAAGCGGUUGGAGACGGUUCCAAGGCGACGUCUUAACCAUCAUCUCCUCUGCAAUUUUCACUGGCCGGUGGUGAUUACAUCUUUCGCACUUGCAUGUUUUUACGGUGAGUGAGUUUGGUGUAUUGCAUAUUAUAUACACUCUCUCCAAUGGCAUUCCAGAAGCGUUGUUCACAACAAUUCUUAUGCGUAUUAUUCUUCUCUCUAAUGGAGAAGAAAAUCAGAUUUACUCACAACGGAAUGACUGAUAUCUUCUUUUCCCAAUUCGUUGUUUCAAUCUCCGGCGUGAACUUUGUGGCCAUGAUCGACAACAAGACAAUCAUUCUAUUUAUACUACAUCCAGAUUUAAGUGGUAAGGAACUUAUUCUUGCCGCUUUACUUUGGAAAUAAUUGCCAUGGAAACAUUGUGUUAGAGUCAUGGAUGCAAUAAUAAAAACUGGGAAAUUAUUUUCAUA